rnacentral:rRNA from 1 species
AUUGAACGCUGGCGGCAGGCCUAACACAUGCAAGUCGAGCGGUAGCGAGAAGCUUGCUUCUCUUGAGAGCGGCGGACGGGUGAGUAAUGCCUAGGAAUCUGCCUGGCAGCGGGGUAUAACGUUCGGAAACGGACGCUAAUACCGCAUACGUCCUACGGACGAACGCGGGGGACCUUCGGGCCUUCCGCUAUCGGGUGAGCCUAGGUCGGAUUAGCUAGUUGGUGGGGUAAUGGCUCACCAAGGCGACGAUCCGUAACUGGUCUGAGAGGAUGAUCAGUCACACUGGAACUGAGACACGGUCCAGACUCCUACGGGAGGCAGCAGUGGGGAAUAUUGGACAAUGGGCGAAAGCCUGAUCCAGCCAUGCCGCGUGUGUGAAGAAGGUCUUCGGAUUGUAAAGCACUUUAAGUUGGGAGGAAGGGCAGUAAAUUAAUACUUUGCUGUUUUGACGUUACCGAAAGAAUAAGCACCGGCUAACUCUGUG